UGCGUGUCACUCAGUCAUUUUU
rnacentral:miRNA from 1 species